ensembl:lncRNA
GAUCGUGUUCCUCUGGUUAAACAGACAGAGCUUCUAGAAGCCUGAGAUCGUGUUCCUCUGGUUAAACAGACAGAGCUUCUAGAAGCCUGAGAUAGUGUUCCUCUGGUUAAACAGACAGAGCUUCUAGAAGCCUGAGAUCGUGUUCCUCUGGUUAAACAGACAGAGCUUCUAGAAGCCUGAGAUCGUGUUCCUCUGGUUAAACAGACAGAGCUUCUAGAAGCCUGAGAUCGUGUUCCUCUGGUUAAACAGACAGAGCUUCUCCUCAGCCUGCUGGCAAACAAAAACAGCCCACUGUCCGACUGGUCCACCUAGAAGGCUCUCUGACGCUGUCACACGCUGUGUUGCUCUCUGGUCUGGUAAUCUAAUGGUGUGUCCUUACUAAACUGGAUGGGGACGUGCCGUGGUUGGAUCUCUCUUUUUAACUGUGAACGGUAGCAGUCCAGUUCAGUCCCCACCCCCAUAGCGCUGAGCUCAUCUAUCAGCCUAAUCACCAGUCACUCUCUCUCACUCAGUCUAACACACAUCUUUAUCAGCAGCCUCUGUGUGUGUAGAGGCACUGGGCUGUGAUCAGGUGUCUCCUAAAAAGGCAAUAACCUCGUCCCCAGAACUCCAGGGCUACUGCCAGGGCUGGAGGGUUAGAGGGCUGGGGGGUCAGAGGACUGGGGGGGUUAGAGGGCUGGAGGGUUAGAGGGCUGGAGGGUUGAGGGCUGGAGGGUUGAGGGCUGGAGGUGUUAGAGGGCUGGAGGGUUAGUGGGCAAUAAGAGGGCUGGAGGGAAGGGCUCCAGGGCUAAUGAGGGCUGGAGGGUUAGAGGUAGGGGGGGGUUAGAGGGCUGGGGGUUAGAGGGCUGGGGUUAGAGGGCUGGG